AUUAAAUACUCUUUUUAUUUUCAUUAGGUUGAUAAGUCCACCAGAAUUAGCCCCUACCUAUCAACUUGGCACUUCCUUCUUGGUUAGCAUGGGGCGUGUCUUCACGCUCAGCUUAGAUCCACAGAAUCUUCACAUUAUAUACACCCAGACACAGUCUAUUAUGUCGUCAUGGAAACUACCCAUCUACAGACGCUCCAAAAGGGGAUCAAACUUUGUAGCUGGUUGUGAUAACUGGUUAUACGGGUUGAUGCCUCAACAGGAAGAAGGUUUAGUCUUUGCUACCAGCAUGCCAGAUCAUAGCAUACAUCUUGUUAGGUGGAGAAUGGUCACAAGAUGACAGUAACAGAGCAAAGUUCCUAAUGGAUCAUGUUAUAUGGAG